CCCCGGUAAACGGCGGCCGUAACUAUAACGGUCCUAAGGUAGCGAAAUUCCUUGUCGGGUAAGUUCCGACCUGCACGAAUGGCGUAAUGAUGGCCAGGCUGUCUCCACCCGAGACUCAGUGAAAUUGAACUCGCUGUGAAGAUGCAGUGUACCCGCGGCAAGACGGAAAGACCCCGUGAACCUUUACUAUAGCUUGACACUGAACAUUGAGCCUUGAUGUGUAGGAUAGGUGGGAGGCUUUGAAGUGUGGACGCCAGUCUGCAUGGAGCCGACCUUGAAAUACCACCCUUUAAUGUUUGAUGUUCUAACGUGGACCCGUAAUCCGGGUUGCGGACAGUGUCUGGUGGGUAGUUUGACUGGGGCGGUCUCCUCCUAAAGAGUAACGGAGGAGCACGAAGGUUGGCUAAUCCUGGUCGGACAUCAGGAGGUUAGUGCAAUGGCAUAAGCCAGCUUGACUGCGAGCGUGACGGCGCGAGCAGGUGCGAAAGCAGGUCAUAGUGAUCCGGUGGUUCUGAAUGGAAGGGCCAUCGCUCAACGGAUAAAAGGUACUCCGGGGAUAACAGGCUGAUACCGCCCAAGAGUUCAUAUCGACGGCGGUGUUUGGCACCUCGAUGUCGGCUCAUCACAUCCUGGGGCUGAAGUAGGUCCCAAGGGUAUGGCUGUUCGCCAUUUAAAGUGGUACGCGAGCUGGGUUUAGAACGUCGUGAGACAGUUCGGUCCCUAUCUGCCGUGGGCGCUGGAGAACUGAGGGGGGCUGCUCCUAGUACGAGAGGACCGGAGUGGACGCAUCACUGGUGUUCGGGUUGUCAUGCCAAUGGCACUGCCCGGUAGCUAAAUGCGGAAGAGAUAAGUGCUGAAAGCAUCUAAGCACGAAACUUGCCCCGAGAUGAGUUCUCCCUGAGACUUAGAGUCUCCUGAAGGAACGUUGAAGACGACGACGUUGAUAGGCCGGGUGUGUAAGCGCAGCGAUGCGUUGAGCUAACCGGUACUAAUGAACCGUGA
rnacentral:rRNA from 1 species